rnacentral:lncRNA from 10 species
UACCUCUAUCUACUCUGUUGCAACUACAACUACCCUGUUUAUCUUUUAGGGAAAGCAAAGUCAAUCGCUUAGUUCUCGUAUUCCAGGAAUGAUAACAGAAAUGCCUAAAAUAGUGGUUCCAAGAAUUUGAGAUUCCUUGGGCUAGUCGAAUUUCUCCCCAAACAAAAAUGAAACAACAACACUGAAUAGCCGUCUUUUAUUUUGCGUAGAAAAAAAAAAUAAUAAUCGCCCCUUGGUGGCACACGCCUGUAGUCCCAGUACUCGGGAGGCUGAGGCGGGAGGAUCGCUUAAGCCCAGGAGUUCGAGGUUGCACUGAGCCAAGAUCGCGGCACUGCACUCCAGCCUGGACAACAGAGCAAGACCCCAUCUCUUAAAAAACAAACUGCCCCUUAACAAGAGCAAUGGCAGCUUAACACCCCGAAGUAUGAAGGUUGUAGUCUCUUAUCUCAAAGUAAGGGGCAUAAAUAUAAUACAUUUCCUAUUACCCUUUUGUCAUUUGAUGCAGGACAAAAUUUAUCAAACCUAGUCCCCCAAUCUGGACAAAUGUAUCCAUACACUGCCCUCUAGAGGCCGGACGGUGGAGCUGCAAUUUUAAUCAGUUUAAGUGAAGGUGUUCACCUUUAAUUUUGAAAGAUCAUUACUGGGUAUCCUUUCUUCCAAAUUCCUAGUACCUGACAAAUAGCAAAAAUAAUAAUAAUAAUAACAAUAAAAUAAAAAAAAGCAACACUCCAAUGCCCUUUUCUUUUUUUCCUUUUUUUACUUACAUUAAAUACAUCGGUAAAUCAGCAGUCGCAUUCUGUUACCAC